AUGUGGGGCUCUGCUGGAGAUUUGGGGCCAAAGUGGAGAAGAUUUGGGGCCGGGGGAGCGGCCGUGACCCUGCUGGAGUCCGGGGGGGACCUCCAGCCCCCCGGGGGGUCCCUGCGCCUCCUCUGCCGAGGACAAGGAUUCGACAUCAGGAAGUUCACCGUGUUCUGGAUCCGCCAGAGACCCGGGAAGGCGCUGGAAUACGUCGCAGGGAUCAACGGUGAUGGUGCCAGAACGUUCUACGCGCCAUCCGUGAAGGGCCGGUUCACCAUCGCCAGGGACAACGGGCAGAGCUCGGUGACGCUGAGCAUGAACAACCUCCAGGACGAGGAUUCCGGGGUUUAUUUCUGUGCCAAACGUUACAACAGUGCUAACGCUGAUACUGCUGCUGGUGUUGAGGGCGACCGUGGCCGUGUCUCCAAUUCCUGGCGCUCAGCGCUGGGACACUCGGGGACAAAGGGUCAGGAGCAGGGCCAGGGCUGA